UACGUAGGGGCCUAGCGUUGUCCGGAUUUAUUGGGCGUAAAGAGCUCGUAGGCGGUUCGGCAAGUCGGAUGUGAAAUCUCCACGCUUAACGUGGAGGGGCCAUUCGAAACUGCCGUGACUCGAGUCCGGUAGGGGAGUGUGGAAUUCCCGGUGUAGCGGUGAAAUGCGCAGAUAUCGGGAGGAACACCGGUGGCGAAGGCGGCGACCUGGGUAGAUACUGACGCUGAGGUGCGAAAGCGUGGGGAGCAAACAGG
rnacentral:rRNA from 1 species